rnacentral:rRNA from 1 species
AUGAGGAACUUGAAAGACGAAAGAACUAAGAUUUUGCCCUCAACUAUGAUGGGAGGUAAGGAACUGCCAUCUAGCUCUGCACUAGAUUCUCCUUCCGUUAUUAGUAAGUUUGCGACACCUAAACCUGCUACUGCUAUGAAUUCUGAUAUGUCGCAUGUUAUUGAUGAUGCCACUUCUACUAUGGAUGAUACUCAUCAUGGAACUACUUCUGUGUGUGAUACUGCUUUGCCAUUAGGUGAAUUUCUUGAUGAACAACUUGCUAGGGUUAGAGAGAAUGAAAUUAAUGAAGAUGCUAUUACUGAUGAUAGUGAUGAUGAAAGUUCUCCCCCUGAUUAUGAAUUACCUGUUGUUCCUGAGGGUUAUAUUAUGAAUGAGGAAGCUGCUAAAGCUAUUUUUGCUUGCAAAGAUAGAUAUGAUCUUAAAAAGUUAUUAGCUAAAUGGAAGCAGCAAUCCCUUAAUGCUAGAAUGAAACCUGACCCUGCUUUUGCUACCUCACCUAUCUGUGUUACUGAUAAGGAUUAUGAAUUCUCUGUUCAUCCUGAAAUAAUUACUUUGGUUGAAUCUGAUCCUUUUUAUGGCUAUGAAUCUCAAACUGUUGUGGCACAUCUUACCAAGUUAAAUGAUAUAGCCACCCUGUUUACUAAUGAUGAGAAGUCUUGCUAUUAUUAUAUCCUUAAGAUAUUCCCGUUCUCAUUAAAGGGUGAUGCUAAGACUUGGUUUAAUUCUCUUGAUCCUAGUUGUGUGCGUAGUCCCCAGGAUAUGAUUUAUUACUUCUCCGCUAAAUAUUUUCCUGCUCAUAAGAAACAAGCUGUCUUGCGUGAAAUAUAUAAUUUUGUGUAA